ensembl:lncRNA
UGUCAAGGUAUCUAUAUAUAUAUAUAUAUAUAUAUAUAUAUAUAUAUAUAUAUAUAUAUAUAUAAACAUGCUCUUGAAAACUAUUCUAUUUUUAUUAUUAUUUUUUAUUUUUUUGGACUGAAAUUGUUGUCAUGUUUGAAUUUGUAUGGGUUAAAAUUCAUAAGUUGUGUUUAUUUGGGAAGAUUGUCAUGAACAAAACAUGUAAGAUUCAAAAACUUGUUGAACAUGUUCACUGCAGAGCACUAUUUACACAAGAGCUUUUACAUGAAAGUGGAAAUAAAGUGAACCUAGAGCACUUUGUGUUCACAAAGCAUGUUAAGAGUGAAUCAUGCUGCAGACAUCAGCGCGUAAAUUAUUGCUAACUACUUUGAAACUAAUUGAGUCUCGCCCACAGGCUGACAGAAAUUAUAAGCGAGUGGAACAUGACGUUUUUUCGUCAGUUUAUGGAGAGAUGCACACUUUGUUUUCUCACCAGCUCUCCACUCACACACUCUCCAUCAACACUGCGUCGGAGUCGCCAGAAACAGCAAGGACCGCUGAUGCUGCACGCCGUCUGUCCAGUCAUUUACAGAAGGUUUGGGAAAAAUUGAAGAAUUGA